rnacentral:rRNA from 1 species
AAGCUCGUAGUUGAAUUUCGAAUGUGGCUGGGCGGUCCGCCUCACGGUGUGUACUGUCUGGCUGUGUUCUCUUUCUUGGUGAGCCGGCAUGCCCUUUACUGGGUGUGUUGGGGGAACCAGGACGUUUACCUUGAGAAAAUUAGAGUGUUCAAAGCAGGCCUACGCCCGAAUACAUUAGCAUGGCAUAAUAAAAUAGGACGUGCGGUUCUAUUUUGUUGGUUUCUAGAGCCGCAGUAAUGAUUAAUAGGGAUAGUUGGG